UAGCAUUGGUAUGCGCGAAAUAACGCUUCCAACGCAUUGAAAAGGUCCUUCGACCGUUGGGCAGUGGGAAGUCUGAAGAUUCUCAUUCAUGGCCAUUAAUCAUGCUUCGUUACCCUCUAUAGUUUCAAACCUUAAAGUUUUCUUUGCACAGAACCAACACCAAACGAAACUCACUACCAAAGAAUAUCCAAAAUCAACACACCAAAUCCAUGAUAUAUUCUGUUCAGGAUCUCAACUUAACAUAAUCAAAAUGGAGCAAGCAAGAUGAACAUCAAAUCAACCAGACUAGAAGAGAAAUUUCAGAUAUAAACAAUCAUGGUUGUUAAGCUAAUAUGAAGCAUAUGAGCAAAGAUUUGAAGAGGAAAAGAACAAACUGAACCUUAACGGAAAACACACGUUUCCGGCGAGCGUGAGGGACGGAACCUGAUCUUGGUAAGACGCUUUCUCUCCUUCUUUUCCUUGCGAGUCGUCUCUUCCCUUUCUUCUUUAUCAAUCUUGCGUUGCUUCUAUCGUGCAAUGGCUUAGCUCGGAUUACUCAAAGUUUUAAGGAUAAACUUUGAGCACCCAUUUGGUACCUUUGAGCUUUGGUGCGGUUUGUGAUAGGAUUUCGGCAGGAAUAACGGUACCGCAAAAAUCUCUUCCUCUUGCAAUGAUUGGUGGCCUUUAUAUAGAGUCUUUAGGUACGAGGUUUCUUUCCUCGUCACCCCCUAUGAGCUGGCGAGCGGAUCAAGAUUUUUCCGUUAGGGAAAAUCUCUCACAGAUUCUGCGUGGUCCCUCCAAACGGAAGUGGUCCCAAAGUGAAGGUAUUAAGCAAUUGGUUUUGUCUUUAGCGGAAGCUUCAAAGGUGUGACCCAUUCUGCUGAUUCCUUCCUUAAACCUUCGAUGCAGUAAAAUGCAUGCUUGCUUGUGGUCGCAACGCGACUUUAGGUUCAUGGUUUCCCAGAUUGUAGUCACUAACUAGCAAGUAACUGGUGUAAUUUGGAAGGAACUCGAAUUUCCUAUGUAUCAUGAUCCAGAGAUCUUAUGACUUGUUAAGAAUGCGGGGAAAGAAGAUGCCGGUUUCGGUGUUGUUGCAAAUACAAUGCCUGUUAGUAGGGUCACCAAGUUUUGGCAUGAAAUCUCCUAGAAUGAUUUUUCGUCUUUCUCGUAUAAGUUUUAUAAUCUCUUUGAGAAUGACUUUUACUAUCUGUUUCCCUUUCUUGAAUUCUGCAGGUUUCGCUUGUAAUACCACGCUUAGCGUUUCUUGAGGUGUGUCAAAAACGAAAGGUGUGUGGAGUUGUCAUGGUCAAGAGGCAUGGCGUCUUAAACUUAAGUACUUUUGUAACGUUAUCCAAUCUGCGGCUUGGUGUAAACCGUGAGGUUGAACUCGGCUGCAUCUUUCCGUCGUUGCGACAUCGUUACUUGCUGCUGGAAGCGUCGAGAAUGUUGCCGGUAACGGCUUUGAUUUAUCUUAUUGGACGAUAGGUUGGAGCUAAUUUCCUUUACUGCUUUCAAUCAAUCUCUUCAUCAGCAGAGGGGCUUACUCCAGGUUCUACGGGUGUUGCAGCGUAUGACCUUGCAGUUUGGCACAUCAGGAGGUUGUGGUUUUGGCGUUUGUAAUUUAGGCCUUAGGAUUUAUCAUAACUGACUGCACUGAAGUGUUUUUUGAAACACUUAUGUUUGUAGAUUUAGAACUUAUGGUUCCACUAAUGUAAUUUCAAGCUUAGCAACUCAAACCACAUGAUGUUUAUAUGUGAAAUCUAAUUGGAAAAUUGGCUUGCUAUUUAUUUGUUCACUCUGUCCAUGCUUUGGCAACUUUCUGGCAGAUUAUGUAUUCAUGGAAAUAGACAAAAGCGACCACAUUUUGUAAUGAUUUGAAAUGUAUUGAUUGUAAUUGAAGCAGGUGUUUAUACAUGCUGUAUUUGUAAAUGAAAGUAUGAUUUGGUAAAUGACCCAUGCUUAUUUUGAAAUCCCCAACAAUUAGUUGCAACGAGAAAUACUAGCGGACCAAGGACGGUUUAUGAAGGUGUGAGAAGAGGAAUUAUGGUUCUUGAGUUGUAACAUAAUUAAGUUGACUUUGGUUGAAAGUUCAUUUUUUUGUAUUUUCUUCAUGUACGGAGACUUAUAUAUAAUGAAUAACACUUAGUGCUUGAAAUGAACUUACACUUUGGAUUUUCUAUA